rnacentral:rRNA from 1 species
GGUUAAGCGACUAAGCGUACACGGUGGAUGCCCUGGCAGUCAGAGGCGAUGAAGGACGUGCUAAUCUGCGAUAAGCGUCGGUAAGGUGAUAUGAACCGUUAUAACCGGCGAUUUCCGAAUGGGGAAACCCAGUGUGAUUCGUCACACUAUCAUUAACUGAAUCCAUAGGUUAAUGAGGCGAACCGGGGGAACUGAAACAUCUAAGUACCCCGAGGAAAAGAAAUCAACCGAGAUUCCCCCAGUAGCGGCGAGCGAACGGGGAGCAGCCCAGAGCCUGAAUCAGUGUGUGUGUUAGUGGAAGCGUCUGGAAAGGCGCGCGAUACAGGGUGACAGCCCCGUACACAAAAAUGCACAUGCUGUGAGCUCGAUGAGUAGGGCGGGACACGUGGUAUCCUGUCUGAAUAUGGGGGGACCAUCCUCCAAGGCUAAAUACUCCUGACUGACCGAUAGUGAACCAGUACCGUGAGGGAAAGGCGAAAAGAACCCCGGCGAGGGGAGUGAAAAAGAACCUGAAACCGUGUACGUACAAGCAGUGGGAGCACGCUUAGGCGUGUGACUGCGUACCUUUUGUAUAAUGGGUCAGCGACUUAUAUUCUGUAGCAAGGUUAACCGAAUAGGGGAGCCGAAGGGAAACCGAGUCUUAACUGGGCGUUAAGUUGCAGGGUAUAGACCCGAAACCCGGUGAUCUAGCCAUGGGCAGGUUGAAGGUUGGGUAACACUAACUGGAGGACCGAACCGACUAAUGUUGAAAAAUUAGCGGAUGACUUGUGGCUGGGGGUGAAAGGCCAAUCAAACCGGGAGAUAGCUGGUUCUCCCCGAAAGCUAUUUAGGUAGCGCCUCGUGAAUUCAUCUCCGGGGGUAGAGCACUGUUUCGGCAAGGGGGUCAUCCCGACUUACCAACCCGAUGCAAACUGCGAAUACCGGAGAAUGUUAUCACGGGAGACACACGGCGGGUGCUAACGUCCGUCGUGAAGAGGGAAACAACCCAGACCGCCAGCUAAGGUCCCAAAGUCAUGGUUAAGUGGGAAACGAUGUGGGAAGGCCCAGACAGCCAGGAUGUUGGCUUAGAAGCAGCCAUCAUUUAAAGAAAGCGUAAUAGCUCACUGGUCGAGUCGGCCUGCGCGGAAGAUGUAACGGGGCUAAACCAUGCACCGAAGCUGCGGCAGCGACACUAUGUGUUGUUGGGUAGGGGAGCGUUCUGUAAGCCUGUGAAGGUGUACUGUGAGGUAUGCUGGAGGUAUCAGAAGUGCGAAUGCUGACAUAAGUAACGAUAAAGCGGGUGAAAAGCCCGCUCGCCGGAAGACCAAGGGUUCCUGUCCAACGUUAAUCGGGGCAGGGUGAGUCGACCCCUAAGGCGAGGCCGAAAGGCGUAGUCGAUGGGAAACAGGUUAAUAUUCCUGUACUUGGUGUUACUGCGAAGGGGGGACGGAGAAGGCUAUGUUGGCCGGGCGACGGUUGUCCCGGUUUAAGCGUGUAGGCUGGUUUUCCAGGCAAAUCCGGAAAAUCAAGGCUGAGGCGUGAUGACGAGGCACUACGGUGCUGAAGCAACAAAUGCCCUGCUUCCAGGAAAAGCCUCUAAGCAUCAGGUAACAUCAAAUCGUACCCCAAACCGACACAGGUGGUCAGGUAGAGAAUACCAAGGCGCUUGAGAGAACUCGGGUGAAGGAACUAGGCAAAAUGGUGCCGUAACUUCGGGAGAAGGCACGCUGAUAUGUAGGUGAAGUCCCUCGCGGAUGGAGCUGAAAUCAGUCGAAGAUACCAGCUGGCUGCAACUGUUUAUUAAAAACACAGCACUGUGCAAACACGAAAGUGGACGUAUACGGUGUGACGCCUGCCCGGUGCCGGAAGGUUAAUUGAUGGGGUUAGCGCAAGCGAAGCUCUUGAUCGAAGCCCCGGUAAACGGCGGCCGUAACUAUAACGGUCCUAAGGUAGCGAAAUUCCUUGUCGGGUAAGUUCCGACCUGCACGAAUGGCGUAAUGAUGGCCAGGCUGUCUCCACCCGAGACUCAGUGAAAUUGAACUCGCUGUGAAGAUGCAGUGUACCCGCGGCAAGACGGAAAGACCCCGUGAACCUUUACUAUAGCUUGACACUGAACAUUGAGCCUUGAUGUGUAGGAUAGGUGGGAGGCUUUGAAGUGUGGACGCCAGUCUGCAUGGAGCCGACCUUGAAAUACCACCCUUUAAUGUUUGAUGUUCUAACGUUGACCCGUGAUCCGGGUUGCGGACAGUGUCUGGUGGGUAGUUUGACUGGGGCGGUCUCCUCCUAAAGAGUAACGGAGGAGCACGAAGGUUGGCUAAUCCUGGUCGGACAUCAGGAGGUUAGUGCAAUGGCAUAAGCCAGCUUGACUGCGAGCGUGACGGCGCGAGCAGGUGCGAAAGCAGGUCAUAGUGAUCCGGUGGUUCUGAAUGGAAGGGCCAUCGCUCAACGGAUAAAAGGUACUCCGGGGAUAACAGGCUGAUACCGCCCAAGAGUUCAUAUCGACGGCGGUGUUUGGCACCUCGAUGUCGGCUCAUCACAUCCUGGGGCUGAAGUAGGUCCCAAGGGUAUGGCUGUUCGCCAUUUAAAGUGGUACGCGAGCUGGGUUUAGAACGUCGUGAGACAGUUCGGUCCCUAUCUGCCGUGGGCGCUGGAGAACUGAGGGGGGCUGCUCCUAGUACGAGAGGACCGGAGUGGACGCAUCACUGGUGUUCGGGUUGUCAUGCCAAUGGCACUGCCCGGUAGCUAAAUGCGGAAGAGAUAAGUGCUGAAAGCAUCUAAGCACGAAACUUGCCCCGAGAUGAGUUCUCCCUGACUCCUUGAGAGUCCUGAAGGAACGUUGAAGACGACGACGUUGAUAGGCCGGGUGUGUAAGCGCAGCGAUGCGUUGAGCUAACCGGUACUAAUGAACCGUGAGGCUUAACCUU